ACGAAUCAACUUCAGUUCCCCUCAACAUUCCCUCUUUCGUUCUCGUCUCCCUCAAACGAACAAACGGCCAUCGGAAAUCGCUCCGCCGCGCCGGAGGCGGCGGAGUUCACCCUAUCUAGCGGUUGAAUAUACCAACAGACUCUCCCCUACGUCCCCUCUUCAAUUCUCAACUUUAAAGCCUCAGAUUCCCUCUCAAUCCCUCUAAAUUUGGCUAGAUCGUAAACCCUAGAUCUAAAGAAAAAUGAAAUUGAACUUCCACGGUUGCAAAUCAAGGAGCGGUAUCAUGGGGGGAAUGCUCAGGCAACUUAAUACUACACCAUAGCAUCAAGAAACAGCAAGAGAUGAAGAUGAAGGAGUCAAUUCGAAGACUUACCUGGAUGACGUAGAUGACGAUUGAAGAAAACCCGAGGAUGCCCCAAUCAAUUGGCGAAAUAAACGCUCUCGAAUGCAAUAGAAAUCUCAGGGCCGAUUACAUGUGCAGCUCUUAAAUUGAUUCUGUAUGAACUGAUUGGAUGAAGAUUCAGUGCAUUUGAUUUGCACGUAACUUGCUCGGUUCAGUUCUGAACAUGUAGGAUCCUUGGUUUUUUCUCUGACUGUUUUUAUGAGCCAACUGUUAUCACUUGCAGGGCCAUAUGCUUGAUGUUAAUGGUAUUUACCACUAUUGCGCAUAAAUACGUAGGUCCGCUAAUGUGUGCGUUUAUAAAUUUAGUGUUAUUUGGUUGGUAUUGAAUGGACUGUUUUGUAUAUUAAUGAUGCAGGUUAUGGUAGAAUUGGGGCAGAUUUGGUAUGUUAUAUGUGCAGUAGGUUGGUGAAGAAGGAAAGUAUGUAUAGCACAUAGCAACUGGUGUAUAACACACUUAUUCCACACUUGGAUAACAAUGGUUACAUGAUACAGGUGGUGGGGGUCUUAAAGAUGAAAAGAAAUUGAAGAUAGAUUUAGGACAAUUAUUUUUGUAUUAAAAGGUGUAAUGCACUUGAAUGUAUUUUGAUGUAAAUGAUGUUUUCGAUAUUUUUCUUUGGAUUAGCUUGAAUGUGUCAUCGGGUUUGAAUAGCAUAAGUUUAGGAAGGAUUUUGAAGAAUAAAUACUUGGAGUUUAUUGCUGAAUUUUUAUGUAAUUGUCUUUUGGAUAUGAACUCGGCAUGUUUCCAAAUGGAUGCCUUUGACAUUUGUAAUGAUUCUCCCUUUUUUUA